GGAAAGCUCAAACAACGGCAAUUGUGGACAGCUGUUUCGCCCUUUUUGGGGCUCAUCAGCACAGUGCACCGAUGAUGAGCUUCCACAUACCAAGAAUAUAUAUACUAUAGAAGACAGUGUGGAGGAUGUGGGACACUACAGAACUUUAUAUACUACACAUUAUACCUAAGCCUUUAUGCGCACGCUCACUGCAUUUCACAGUUUAAAAACGGCGAUAAAGCACAUAAGUAAAGACAUUGUAGCGCCCUUCAAGGAAAGCUCAAACAACGGCAACUGUGGACAGCUGUUUCGCCCUUUUUGGGGCUCAUAUAUUAUAUAUAUAUAUAUAUAUAUAUAUAUAUAUAUAUAUAUAUAUAUAUAUAUAUAUAUAUAUAUAUAUAUAUAUAUAUACAUGCAUGUCAUAUUAAUAUAGCCUGUUCAGAUAUUGUGAACUAGAUCCGUGUUUCAACUGUGAGCGCAGUUGGACAUUAGUUCAAAUGCAUUGUUCUGGUCUUUUUAAAAGAGAUAGAAUAUCUUACAGUUAGCCACGCGUUUUUUAUAAAAUGUCGAAAUGAAGGCUUAAAGAAAUAUUUGGUCAGCAGUAUCUGAAAAUGUAUACGGGAAUAUAUUGCAAAAUUUUAUCUUUAAUACCGUGAGAUAUUUAUCCUGCUGCAUGGAAUAACGUUUACUAUCUCAACAUACAACUUUUCAGCUGUACGAACAUAUAAACAAAUGGGACAUUUCAAAUUUUGCAUAUGAACAAAGACCUAUGAUCGUUUUUCGUUUCCCCCUUACUUUCGCUGAGCCAAGCGUGUCGCUAUCUAUAAAUUAAUAGUCCGUGUGUUGUGACCCGAUAUCGUUCACUUUCAUUAAGCAUGUCUUAGAUCUGAAAUAUUUUUGCGGGAACUAACACUUUCGAACACGCUGAGUU